rnacentral:rRNA from 1 species
AUAUCAAUAAGCGGAGGAAAAGAAACUAACAAGGAUUCCCCUAGUAACUGCGAGUGAAGCGGGAAAAGCUCAAAUUUAAAAUCUGGUGGUCUUUUGUCCAUCCGAGUUGUAAUUUAGAGAAGCGUCUUCCGCGCUGGACCGUGCACAAGUCUCCUGGAACGGAGCGUCAUAGAGGGUGAGAAUCCCGUCUUUGGCACGGACACACCAGGGCUUUUGUGAUGCGCUCUCGAAGAGUCGAGUUGUUUGGGAAUGCAGCUCAAAAUGGGUGGUGAACUCCAUCUAAAGCUAAAUAUUGGCGAGAGACCGAUAGCGAACAAGUACCGUGAGGGAAAGAUGAAAAGCACUUUGGAAAGAGAGUGAAACAGUACGUGAAAUUGUUGAAAGGGAAACGCUUGAAGUCAGUCGCGUCGCCCGAGACUCAACCUUGCCUUGGCUUGGUGUACUUCUCGGCUGACGGGUCAGCAUCAAUUUUGCCCCUUGGAUAAUGGCGAGGGAAAUGUGACACCUUUAUAGGUGUGUUAUAGUCUCUAGUCGCAUGCAAGGGUCGGGAUUGAGGAACUCAGCACGCGCCUUUGGGCGUCGGGGUGUUUCGCCCACGAUACGUGCUUAGGAUGUUGGCGUAAUGGCUUUAAACGA